UACGAAGGGGGCUAGCGUUGCUCGGAAUCACUGGGCGUAAAGCGCACGUAGGCGGCUUCUUAAGUCAGGGGUGAAAUCCUGGAGCUCAACUCCAGAACUGCCUUUGAUACUGAGGAGCUCGAGUCCGGGAGAGGUGAGUGGAACUGCGAGUGUAGAGGUGAAAUUCGUAGAUAUUCGGAGGAACACCAGUGGCGAAGGCGGCUCACUGGUCCAUUACUGACGCUGAGGUGCGAAAGCGUGGGGAGCAAACAGG
rnacentral:rRNA from 1 species